CAGCGAGCAGCAGGAGGAAACGUCUCAGAACUCUGAACUAACCUUUGUUUAAUUUCUCUUUAGUUCUGAUCUCACUGCUGAGCUGCACCACAAACCAAGCUUCAAAGAAAACUCCUCCAUCGUCCUGAAGAAAAGGAUCAACUUCAUCUAACAUAAAGUUUGAGGAUUUAAAUGGAGGAAACAUCUUUGUAGUUGCUGCUCUUUCUGAUCUCACUGCUGAGCCUCAACACAAACCAAGCUCGUCUGACUGUGAGUCCCA